GAUGAACGCUGGCGGCGUGCCUAACACAUGCAAGUCGAGCGAUGAAGUUUCCUUCGGGAAACGGAUUAGCGGCGGACGGGUGAGUAACACGUGGGUAACAUGCCUCAUAAUGGGGGAUAGCCUUUCGAAAGGAAGAUUAAUACCGCAUAACAUCAUUAAAUGGCAUCAUUUAAUGAUCAAAGGAUUUAUUCGUUAUGAGAUGGACCCGCGUCGCAUUAGCUAGUUGGUAAGGUAAUGGCUUACCAAGGCGACGAUGCGUAGCCGACCUGAGAGGGUUAUCGGCCACAUUGGGACUGAGACACGGCCCAGACUCCUACGGGAGGCAGCAGUGGGGAAUAUUGCACAAUGGGGGAAACCCUGAUGCAGCAACGCCGCGUGAGUGAUGACGGUCUUCGGAUUGUAAAGCUCUGUCUUUGGGGACGAUAAUGACGGUACCCAAGGAGGAAGCCACGGCUAACUACGUGCCAGCAGCCGCCGUAA
rnacentral:rRNA from 1 species